CGGACGGGUGAGUAAUGUAUGGGGAUCUGCCUGAUGGCGGGGGAUAACUACUGGAAACGGUAGCUAAUACCGCAUAACGUCGCAAGACCAAAGAGGGGGACCUUCGGGCCUCUUGCCAUCGGAUGUGCCCAGAUGGGAUUAGCUAGUAGGUAAGGUAACGGCUUACCUAGGCGACGAUCCCUAGCUGGUCUGAGAGGAUGACCAGCCACACUGGAACUGAGACACGGUCCAG
rnacentral:rRNA from 1 species